rnacentral:rRNA from 1 species
UCUGUGGAUCCGUGGCGAACGGGUGAGUAACACGUGAGCAACCUGCCCCUGACUCUGGGAUAAGCGCUGGAAACGGCGUCUAAUACUGGAUAUGAGCUGCGAUCGCAUGGUCAGCAGUUGGAAAGAUUUUUCGGUCUGGGAUGGGCUCACGGCCUAUCAGCUUGUUGGUGAGGUAAUGGCUCACCAAGGCGUCGACGGGUAGCCGGCCUGAGAGGGUGACCGGCCACACUGGGACUGAGACACGGCCCAGACUCCUACGGGAGGCAGCAGUGGGGAAUAUUGCACAAUGGGCGAAAGCCUGAUGCAGCAACGCCGCGUGAGGGAUGACGGCCUUCGGGUUGUAAACCUCUUUUAGCAGGGAAGAAGCGAAAGUGACGGUACCUGCAGAAAAAGCGCCGGCUAACUACGUGCCAGCAGCCGCGGUAAUACGUAGGGCGCAAGCGUUAUCCGGAAUUAUUGGGCGUAAAGAGCUCGUAGGCGGUUUGUCGCGUCUGCUGUGAAAUCCCGAGGCUCAACCUCGGGUCUGCAGUGGGUACGGGCAGACUAGAGUGCGGUAGGGGAGAUUGGAAUUCCUGGUGUAGCGGUGGAAUGCGCAGAUAUCAGGAGGAACACCGAUGGCGAAGGCAGAUCUCUGGGCCGUUACUGACGCUGAGGAGCGAAGGGUGGGGAGCCAAACAGGCUUAGAUACCCUGGUAGUCCACCCGUAAACGUUGGGAACUAAUUGUGGGGUCAUU